rnacentral:sRNA from 10 species
AGCUGUCAGUCGACAGCCACCAAUGAUCCAGUCACUUGUGAGGAUCGCCUUCGGGUAGUGGCAAAAAAACGCUUCCGUAGCUUGAAAGGAAGCACACCGUUUACGGUGUAGUACAUCUGCCCGCCUUUGAGAGUAGAUGUCAUCGUAGUUUUGAUGAACAAGGCUUAA